GAUCUCACCUCAUCCUGCAGUCUUGCCUAUCCACAAGAUGUAACUGAAAUAGAACAAAGUGAGACACUCAGCACCUUCAGUGCUCACGGCUUCCAAAAGCUCUGCCAAAGCCCCAGCUACUUAUUCAAACAGUCCACGUGUUCUUUGUAUUUGGACAGUGCUUCACACCUUAUUGCAAAGGCAGUGUGUUUACAGGAAAAGAUUUCAAGCUGGCCAAUGUUGCUUUAGCAGAUCCAGAGAAUAUGAUUGCGAGGGUUGGGGAGAGAGAUCAAAGCAAAGCAAGCCACCACCGUCAGCUGAGCCAUCUUGCACCCCUCCUCGCUCAGAGAUGUUGCUUGAGGCUGAAGUCAGCCAGCUCAGCUCACUGAGCCAAUGGAACUGGAGCUCCUUUCUCACUGUCUUCAUCCCUGGGACUGGUGCUCAUCCUGGCAGGCUUGCCCUGACGUUGGACUUUCUUACCUCCUGUGUGCAGUACCUCUGAGCUGAACUGGUGACUAGGGGGGACAGGAGAGCAGGGAAGGAGAAGCUCAUGGUUUCCUGCUGCAGCCUGGGCUCAGAGGAAGUCAUUGUUUCCUGCAGCUCGGGUAAGGCAGCGGUACGACCCAGCUGCAUAACUGCUCUGAGAAACAGAGAUCUAUUUAGAUAAGCCAAAAGCUGGGGAUGACCGAGCAGAGAGCAGCACUGAGCAUGGCUGGAAAGAGCAACGCCAGCCCCACUGCCGCAGCAGGAGCCUCCAAUCUGCCAUGGCUUUGAGGUGGUGUUUAUGGGAUGCUGUCAUGAUGGAUGAUCCCACCAUCGCCCUGCAAGAACGUGGGGUAUCCAGAUCAGCCCCAUGUCUGCAGGAUCUUCUCUUUCCAACCAGCAACAACGACAGAAGGAAGCAGAGAGUGUCCAGACCUCUCAGACAAGCAGUGACUCUGUGAUCUACAUCAGUUUGACUAGAUGUAAUGAAAGAAGAGAAGAGAACUCAGGUUUUCCAGCAACAGAACAAAAGUCCCAUCCAUAAAAAACGAUGGUUACAGACUUGUAACUGAUCACUGGAAGCUGAAAUGAGGCUGUGGGCACACUGGGAGAGCACACAGCACUGCUCUGUGCAGGACAGAGGCAGAGGAACACUGUGCUUUGUAGCACAGAAGUACUUCAGCCAGAGCACUGUGAGCUGCAGUGGGAUUCAGGGAAUGGUGCUGGCAUCAAAGUUACUGCGUUGAACUGAGCAAAACUUUCCCAAAAGGAACACAAAUACAUAGAACAAGCAACCCAACUGCAAACAACGGGGUAGUGGGAAUGGGAACCUCUUACUGCAUGACGUUCAGUCUCCUGUCUUCACAAUUUGCAACAUUGCUUCCCAGCUCCAACUGCACAAGGCUGUUCCACUGGGAACACCCUUCUUUGGAAACACAGGUCAACCAGAAAAUAGUUGAUACGCUAUCUACUCAAAUACAAAUAAUCUCACUAUCCUGAUGGAACCACUGAACAGGGUUCCCUUGAGCUGCUGCUGCCACUGCCCAUCCCAUGGGUACUGUUCUAUGUAACCCCGUGUCUGCUGUUCCCAGCAGCCCGAGGCUGUUCCACCCUGCAUGUCCAUGUGUGCCUCUCCCACCAGGCAUGGCCACCGCUCCCAUCAACACAACAGGCUGAAGUCGACCCCCUUACCACCCUGGCUUUCACCUGAAAUGGAUUAGCUGAACAUGUCUAUGAAUGUUACCUAAUUAAAUGACUUUUCUUAAUGAGGAGUGUGCAUUCGAGUUGCUCUAUCUGUAGAUCAAUGAGGUCAGAACUCUUUGGCAGAGGGCUGAGAUGAUGAACUGAAGGAGCAAUAUCUUCAAUACCCUUGCUGGCUCUGGAAAUGAGUGUUUGCAAACAGCCCAAGAUGCCUAAACACACAGUGAAAUAACUAUCUCACAUUAUGAUUGGAGGAGUGCAAGAGCUCUGCUUCCAGAUGGCAGAGCAAAGGAAGGCAGUGGGGUGGUGGCAGCAGUGGGGUGGUGGCAGUGGGGUGGUGGCAGCAGUGGCCUCGGUCAGCCCACAGGUCCCAUGGAAGGAGAACAGCUCCAACUUUGAUCCCAUUGUCUUUUAGGGAUGUGAUUAGGGAUGUGGUGGGGAUGGGUCGAUGGUUGAACUAGAUGUUCUUAGCAGUCUUUUCCAACUUUAGUGACUCUGUGAUUCUGUGAUCUUGGAAACUCUGAUGUCCUGGUGGCUGCUGAACACGUUGGUGCAGCUGGACGUACUCCACUGUGUCCUUCAGGAAAGCAGAGCACACAGAGGCUGUCACAUCCCCACCACGCAUGCAGCCACUGGGACAUUCACAGGCAUUAAAAAAUGAAUCCUCACAAAGCAAGCCUCUGCGUUUCACUGAAUGUGACACAGCCCUUUGCACUUAAACCUGCAAUGAACUCCAAAACCACAGAUGAAAUCACAGAGCAGAAGGAGGAGAAGGAAAAAUAGGGCACUGCAUGAAGGUGUGGGUGAACUUUCCAAUUGCUUCCAUUUUCCUUUUGUA
ensembl:lncRNA